AUCGUUAUAAUAAUAAUAAUAAUAAUAAUAAUAAUAAUAAAAUCAAAUCUAUGUAUAAGAAUAUAAAGGAUCACAAUUCUGAAAUCAAAUCAGUGGAAAACAAAAUAAGAUUUGAUUUUCUUUUCUUUUUUUUUUUAGUUUCUUGGCCUCUUAUUGGCUUAUUGAGAGACCAAAGAGAAUGUGUUGUGUCUUAAAACUAGAUAGAUGAACAAAGAGACGUGGUUUUUUGGGCUGUGAGAAGAGUGGUUAUGGAAGGAGAAGAAAUAAAAAUGUGGGGAAAUUGAAAUUCUGAGGAGCUUGUG
rnacentral:lncRNA from 1 species